UCGCGAAAAGGAAAAAGGUGAUAAGCUUUGGAUGGAAUUUCUGUUUUAACAGAAGAUGAAGACAUUUUACGACCCUGUGCUGCGUUGCAGUGGAAUGUGCCUGAGACGAUCCCCCACAGCGCCUGCAUAUAUAGUCAGCUUGUGAAAAUGGAAUCCGAAUACUCACAAGAAAUGACAAAAGCAGUAUGAAAAUUAACACAAAGAAAUUGUGCCAGAAAGUUUGAAGUAUCUAUGGGAAUAAUCAACAUGAACUUGCUAAGCCUUCCUUCUUAAAGUGACAUGACCAGAUAUUUGGCUACCCAGUCUGAGUAUCUUUCUGCUAAAUGAAAUUAAAUAUUGUGGAGUAACAUGGAGAAAAGGGCACCUCAACAUGUUCAAGGUCAAGCAGCUUAUUACCUUAUCCAUAGUAUCUUGUUGCUAAAUGAAAGAAUUAAUGUGGAGGAACAGAGAAAAGGGCACCGCACCAUGUUCAAGGUCAAGCAGAAAUUUGGAGCUUGAUGUGCUCCUCCAUAGCUGAAAACUUCUUGGGAUGAAGAGAAGAAAAAGCAAGAAGAAGCAGUUUUAAAUAUUAAUUACGUCUUCGUACCACAAAAAAUGAUUCGAAAGAUGAUACUACCUAUGAAAUUAGGAAACUGAAGUGGCGUUCUGAUGAAUGUGAAAAAGUCCUCAAAGAACAGGACACCAAAAGUGCCACUCUCAAAUCAAAGCACUCUAAAAGGCAGAGUAUAAGAAGAACUAGGACAAAUAAAGAAUUGAAGAGAGUCAAACCUAUUGAUGUCGUUAUUGAACAGAG